UUUGAUUUUAUGAAUGCACAAUACAACACAAAAGUAUAUAACAGCUGAAUUGAAAUAUGCAGUAGUGGACCCAUAGACAUAACCUAACCAAAAGCUAGCUUUUUCAGAGUGACCAUAUGUAGUUCUAUCGAUUUUCGAUCGAAUAUCGGUUCACAAUUGAGCAUACUAAAACUCAAUAUUUCUGACCGAAAAUCAAAUAUUUUUCUAAGUAUUCACCGUUCAACAAUAAAAUUGGAAUUUAAUAAAUUUUGUGAGUGAAUAAAAAGUUGUUUUUACCGAAAAUUACCGAAUUUGCUUUAGAUUUCCUACCGAUAACCUCUAAAAACAAUCUGGUCACUUCGCGCCUGCAAUCGAAUCGAUUUUGAUCGUAAUCAAAAAUGGAGGAUGCUAGUCAAGAAUCUAUUGCGCUUAUUCAAAAAAAAGUAUGAUGCUAGUCUAAACUCAAUUGGAAAACCCUGUAUUUCGGCAGAUAAUUAACCGAGGUCGUGAAAUAUUUUUUAGUGUGUAGUAUUUGUAGUGGGCUAGUUGUGCACUUUGCAUUGUAGUUUAAUUUCAACCUGGUUAAUAUUUUCACUAUUGUGGGAAUAUUACAUCCGAUGUGUAAUGCAGUUGUGUUGUACCACCGAGGGACUCUAAAAUAGCUUUCAAGAAUUUAUUUUGAGCUCUUUGCAAUUUUAAUUUGUGUGAGUGGGCACAAUUUUACCUAAUGGGUACAACAGCAUUUCGUCUUUGAAAUUUAAUUUCGAUUUCCUAUUAAGAAAACUGUACAGAAUUCUAAAAAGUUUUUUCACAUUUAACAGUAACAUUUUCUGUAUGAUAUCUGUAUGUCAGUCGUUUAUCUACCGUUAGUCCUAGGUAUUUAGUAUGAUCUUUCCGAUAAAUUUCACAGUCGUUAAUUAAUGGUCUAGUAAUUGGAAGCUUCCGAGAACAGGUAUACCUUGUGAAGAAGAUACCCAAGUAGCCAAAAUUGCCUAAGCAGCUAAUUUUGGCAUGCUAAAGAUCGCUGCUUGAAUUCGCCUUUUGCAGUAGAUAAACAGCGUUAAAGUUCCAGGUGGAUCUUUUAAAUAGCGCCUAAGCAGCUUCCUUAUGCCACGGUGCCAGGGAUUAUUUUUCUUUGCGUUUUAUUUUCAAGCAAGGCGUCAUCAAUGAAAUAUGUUAGCGCCUAGAUGUAUGCUGAAAGGUAAUAGCAUACAAGUAGCCAUAAUUUAGUCCAUAACGAUAAGAGUUAGUUAGUGUUAGUGAGAACGCGUACGUCUAUUGAAAUGAUGAAAUAAAUGUUAGAGUCUAAGUUGAACCACCGUACAGAACACAUCGGUUUUUUUGAUUGAGCUAUUGAACAUUUGGUCCUUCGAACAAAAAGGGAUAAACGAGUUGUCAAAAUCGCAAUAGAAUUCGGGACAUUUAGAUUCUCAUCACAAGAUCGCUGCGAUUGUAUCGUUUUUGCUUGUGCUGAAUCCACGAGAUUGUUUGUGAGUGGAAGAGUGUAGGCGUACGAUUUGCCGGCGCAUGCCUUUAUGUGCGUGUUUUUUUACGUGAGUGCACAUGAAGUGGCAUAGAGUUUUGUGACUUUUAUUACACUUUUCCGGGAGUCGGCGGUUUAGAGUGCAGAAGUAAGCGAACGAUAACAGUGCGUAAGCGUAAUUUUGUGCGUGUACCGUUUUUUUUUUAGCUUUAGCAAUCGUGCUAGCGAUUUGUGCGUGUGCGUUAGUUCGGCCAUAGCGUGGGUCCGAGUUACAGAGGUGCGCGUAACUAUAGGUGACGUAAAAUUGUUUUUUUGUUGAUUGCUAGAAAACUACACACAUUUGUGUUGGACCUGCUCCUGAGUUGGGAUGAGAAGUGUAUUUCGGCCAAUUCGCGGGCCCCAAUGCUAGGAGUGGUAAAAUCGUGUGAAAAUUAGAACAAGUUUAGCGUCGGAAAGAUCGUUGCUAGGACAAUCAGUUUGCGGUUAGUGUGUUUCGGCCAUCGUGACCGAGUUGGUGUCAGUGUUCGCCAUCGCAAUUUGAGGAGUGUUGUUGAACUUUAAAAUGCCGAAAGCAUCGAAAGAAGCAGAAAAAAUGGUGCCGUGGAUAAGAAUUUACCAAGAUCGAUUGGCAGGCCUAGGGCAAUUUGAAGAAUUUAUGGAUAAUUACGUGGAUGCACAACGUUGUGAAUUAAGUAGUCAGCUUUUGUCCUUGGAAGAGGCAAAAAAGACUUAUGAAAGCGUGCGGGAAAAGUUGUUAUUGGAGUAUGAUGAGUGUGAUGAGGUACAGUUAAGAAGUGAGAGGAAGGAGUUUCAAAGAAAGUAUCACAAAGUGAAGGGUUUUCUGUUAGAAAAACAAGGACGAGAUGAAAGUGUACGACCGAUCGCGAACAGUACUAUGACGAACACAUUGUUUUCGAGUUCACAAGUGCGUUUACCGAAAAUAGAGCUUCCUACGUUUAGUGGUGAUAGUACGCAAUGGAUGAGUUUUAAGGAUCGUUUCGAAUCGAUGGUGCACGAGGUAGUGGAGUUGUCUGAAGUUAUGAAGCUGCAAUAUUUACUGGCGUCGUUGAGAGGAGAUGUAGCUCGACAACUUGAACAUGUUCAACUUAUGGGGGAGAACUAUUCGAGUACAUGGAAGGCGCUUUUUAAGCGUUUCGAUGAUGAAAAGAAGCUGAAGCGCGAGUAUUUUAAGGCGCUCAUGGAUCUUCAACCAAUGGCAGCAGCAACACCCGAAGAGUUGACUCGAAUCGUUAAUGAAUCUCGACGGUUGGUGCGGGGAAUGGAACGACUAAAAGAGCCAGUAUCAAAAUGGGCUACACCUUGAACAAGUCUGGUAAGAUGCAAAAUUCAUCACGAUACGUUAAUGGCAUACGAAAUCUUUGCAGCUGACACGGAAGACAAUUUUGAUGACCUGAUGGAAUUCUGUGAAAAGAGGAUAAAGAUUUUGAACAACACCGUUACCGAUGGGACAAACAGAAUAUCUACAAAAGCAGCUAAUGAUCCCAUUUCAAGUCGUGCAGAGAACAACGGGCAGAGAAAGAACCCCGGUACCAAAAUCCAUGCGACUUUUCGCUAACGGAUUGAUUAAAUGGCGCCCGAUUAGACGAUCCGAUAGAAGCACUUUUCAGGCUUAACGGAUAGUUUGAAUGACGCGACAUAGUCGUGUUGCAGCAACGUGUGAUAUGUAUCAUGCGAUGUCUUUUAUUGUACAUGCGUCUGGAUUUUUUAAUUCAUGCAGUGGUUGCGAUGAGAACGAAAAUUCUCUCACUCACACAACCACAACCCGUACACGGAACGUACGCGAGCUGUCAGUUUGUAAUGCAAACAAAGUGUUGAAGUGGAUCUAGUAGUUGAUGGGUUUCUAAAUCAUUCAAAUAACAGAAAUAUAUUAGAUACGGUAAGUGUAACAAUGUCCGCUUUGUUUUGUUUGUUCUCAACAAUUUGGCUGAUAUGUUUUUGCGUUGGAUAUAGAUUCCGAAAAUGAACCAAAACAACGUGGCGCAGCCCGGUAGAGGUAAGAAGAUUCCUGCAUCUGGAAAAAGAUCCCGCAAUAUUUUGGAGAAGGAAAAUGAAGAACCUGGAACUAAAAAAAAAGGUAAGAUUGCAUUGCAUUGUUUACAUGUGCGAUUGUUUAAUGCCCCCAGGACAAUCGCAUGGCAAUCGGAUUGAAGGCGCAACAUUUUCCAUACAAUCCGCAGUGUUGCGUUUUCUUCGCGCCAACUUUGCCUGUAUUUUCAAUGAGCCAAGCGAUUUUACCCCCUCCUACACGCGUUGUAUCCUACAGCACGCUUGUCGCGGCAACGUUCACCACAUACACACACAUCUCCACACUCAGCGUACGACAUCUUCCCUGUUGCUGUUCUGGACUCAGACAAAAUUUGUGUUUCUACACUUAUUGUUCAAAAAAGUAGAAGCUCUUAGGAUCUGAAUUUACAAACAAAUAUCAAAAUGUUAUGUUCUGCUAAUGAUAUUGCACUGAAUUUAAUUGCACUAAAUUAAGUUUUUACAUAUCUUUCGUAAAAGUUCGUCAGAGUAUGAAAAUGUCGAUACAAUUUGUCAUGAAUAACUUAAAUUUUAAGAUUUUCGCGCAUAAAAUUAUGACGCGCGCUGUGUGUGCAGCGGCGUAAUUCAUUACUCGUAUAGCCGUCUCGCUUCUUCUUGUGUGUCCUUUACCGUUGCUCACCGCUUCAAGAACAUUGCUGCUCACACACACGUCAGUCUGCGGCAAACAAUUGGAGGGGGAGGAUGUGUCGGUUUGCUCCAGAAAUCGUGUGUGAUUUUGGUGUUCCGGAUUUGGUUCCAUCGCUGUUUGUUUUGGUGGUAUUGUAAAGGUAAGAAUCAUCAACCGAUGUAAAAGUGUGAGAGUAAGAUGAUGCUGAUGGUGACUGAUGCUUUUCUUUGUUUCUUUUCCUGCUUUCAUCCACUGAUGGCGUCGAGCAUCGCCGAGGAUGUGAUCGAAUGCGGAAAAUUCUAAACGAGGAGCUUCAUUCCGGAUUUUGUUUGCAAUAAGCGCUGAAAUCAUCCUCCACCUUACAACGAACGGUCAACGGAUGAGGAAGGAGAGGAGGGACGGCAAAGGUACACGCACAAACGUGCACACAUCAGCCUUCUCUGUGAACGAGAACACGGGAGGGGGAGGCCGGCAACGUAUGGAACCUCUUCAUUUACGCUCUCUCGUGCGUUCGUGCGUGCGUGCGCGCGCGCGUCUGUGUGUGUAUGUAUGUGUGUGCAUGCCUGCGUGCGUGGCUGUGUGUGUUUUUGCCGCUUCGCAUAACGAGAUCCUACGGGAUCACCUUGCGAAAAACACUAGGAGAGGAGGGGGGGUAGGUAUAUGUGUCUGUGUGUGUAUGUGUGCGCGCGUGGUUGUGUGUGUGUUUUUUGCUGUUUCGCGAUCUCCUACGGAAUCACCUUGCGAAAACACGAGCGGGGGAGGAGUGGGGUGUGUGUUUGUGUGCUUGCCUGCGUGCGUGCGUGACUUUGUGUGUGUGUUUUUGCAUUCGCGUUCUCCUACGGGAUCACAUUGCGAAAAACACCAUGGGGAGGAGGAGGUGUGUGUGUGUUUUCUUUUCUUUGUCGUUUCGCACUCUCCCGCGGGUGCAUAAAAAGAAAGUGGAAAAUAAAAAAAAAAUUAACAACGGAUUCGUAAGUGUGUUUGAACUCAUUGCUAUCCGAAAAAAGUGAGGGGGGGCUCUUGAAAUGUAAUACACAUGUAUGCAACAUGUAUCGUGUCGCCGCGACGGUGUAUCUCGCUCAAUCCGUUAAGCCUGAAAAGUGCUUCUAUCGGAUCGUCUAAUCGGGCGCCAUUUAAUCAAUCCGUUAGCGAAAAGUCGCAUGGAUUUUGGUACCGGGGUGUAUGCAAUUAUUUUCAGCGUGCAAUAUAGUCCAACCGAAGUCAAGCCGACCAAUUGCAGAUUUUAAAACCGUCAUCAAACCGUCAAAGACAAAAACGGAAACCAUUGUGAAAGAAGAAGUUGUUUCCGAUAACAGCACAACGAAGGAUAUGAUCCAAGCAGCAAGCACCUCGUCAUCGUCAUAUCCGAAAACGGAAAACAAAAAAAAGGCACCCACUAAUGAAAAUGUUUUAUUAGCUCCCCCAACCGCCGACGUGCAAGCAAUAAUGUCGUACUUAACGAAGUGUCCCUGGCGAUCAUCAAUGAUUCCUAAACAAGAACAAGAAACUCCAGUUUGUUCAACACACAAACAAAAUCAACUAGAACCACAACAAGAAAAUGA